UAAAUUAAUAAAUUCUCUUUAUGUAAACUUAUUUAAUGAAGUUAUUGUAAAGAAAUUUUCGGCUUGAAAAAAAAAAAAAAGAAGACAAUCACGGAAUUAGCAAAAUAGCAUAUUGAGUACAACCGGAAGGUCAUAGUUUCAAUUCUCGUUAAUAAUAUACACUAUGCAUGAGAAGUAGUGUUUUGAUCGUAUUGAAGUCAAUCUUACUGCUGGUUCCAACACAUUUUUUUUAUUGUUAUAUGGCGCCUGUAUCUGUGAGAUUAACGAGUCAGAACUUAUGGAGAUCUAACUCAAGAAACAAAACCGCGUUCUUCCGGUUGAUGAUACAUAUAUACGCACAUACACAUACACUCACAAACGUACGCAUACAUACAUACAUACAUACAUACAUACAUACAUACAUACAUACAUACAUACAUACAUACAUACAUACAUUGUGUAUGUGUGCAACUGUUUAUAUAAGUAUAUAUAUGUUUAUGUGUAUGUCUAUAUAUAUAUACAUGCACACAAAAUGUCACACAAAUAUAUAUAUAUACACACACACACCUACGCAUCUACAUAUAUGUAUGUACAUAUAUAAUAUAAUUUACACAUAAAUAAAUGCCUAUAUAUAUAUUAUAUAUAUAUGUGAUGCUUUUGCAGCUUUAUAUAUGAGUAUAUAUAUACAUAAACACACGCACACACACACACACGUAUAUAUAUAGAGAGAGCAUACUAAUAUAUGCAUACAAAUGUCUAUAUAUGUACAUACAUAUACAUAUAUGCACAUGCAUGCAUGCACACAUACAUACAUAAAGGCACACAUACAUACAUACAUACAUACAUACAUACAUACAUACAUACAUACAUACAUACAUACAUACAUACAUACAUACAUGCACGCAUGUGUGUCUGCACAUUGAACUUCCCGAUAAUUAUUGUAUAAUUGUUAUUUUAUAAAUGCAUUCAGUUCUCCCUUAGUCUGUUCCCUUGGGGGUAUUUUUUACGAAGUCGUACCAAAUAUACUAAGGAUGUGUGUGUGUGUGUAGAGGGGUAUUUGGAGAUGUAUGUGAGUGGAGUAGAAUAUCAAUAUGUGUGUGUAUAGAAAAACAUAGAGGGGAAGAUUAUUUAGUAUCUGAUAUCCCAUUUUAUAUUACAACUGCUAGUUUCCCCAUUGCAGGGUUCUUCAGGCAUUGUAAGGUAGAAUCCACUAUUCCACCUGCUAAUUAAGACAAGAAUAGAAGCAACUAGCUGUUUUCAUAAAGAGGUAUUUUUAAUCGGGAUGCACGCGGUUUAUUGGCUGUUGCAUCAAUGCGUUCUUUGUGUCUAUAAAUAUGUACUGCUUAACCAAUGCCGGUUAAACAGUACGCUCGUUUUUAAGAGUUUAAUGUGUUUGUGCGUGUGUGUGCGCGCAUGUGUAUGUAGAUUUUAUUUACUGGAACGUGUGUUUGUGAUUGCAUAUGUGAAAGUGUAUAUCUAUUGGAGGUCUUAGUGAUUGUGUAUGUAUCUUGCAUGUCUGUUAGAAAUCUUGCAUGUUGUGCUUUUGUGUCACUGGAAAGGCUUGUCAACCCAACCAAAAACCGAAUAAGGAUAAUCGUCAGAAAUAUCGAUAAAAACUAACAACAAUGCCCAUGAAGUUUCUAUAUUUGUACAUUAAGACAACAGUGCAUCGGUUAUGUGAAAGAUUACUCAUAUCACUUACAAACAACAUUACACAUUCAACCAAACAUCAACUGCCUGGGAAAUCUGUUACCACUGUCACAUUUAAAAUUUACCGAAACGGUAUUGAUUAUACAGAAAUGACCGCUAACCGCAUUAACUAUAUAGAGACGCCUUUCUAAGAAUAGAUUUUAUCAACAUAUGUACACAUUCCGAACAAUCAAAGGAAUCUGGACACAAAACUAACGGCACAUAUCUGGUUUUAGAAAAAUAACAAUAUGCCUUAUAUCAUUGCAUGGGAACUUUCAAGUAAAGCACAAACAAAUAUUUUAUGCAAUCUUUAUGCUCUAGAAACGCUGCCGACUCUGAAACAGGAAACCAAAACAUUCAAUAAACGUUCUGUUUAUAUCCUUACAUUGUAAAGUAUCUCCUUAAAUAUAAGAGCGGCAUUUCGACAGCGAUAACAUGAACUCUCAGUAGAAUAGAUUUUCUUUAUCGGUUUCGUUUUUUCAAAUCCCUCUUCAAAUAUUAUUUGCCGAUCAAGCUAUCAAUAACGACAGAGUGAUCUCACUGAAACACAAAUCUUCCACGCUCAACUACACGCUCAUAUAUUACCUCAAUAGAUCAGACCCUCUCUUCUUUCAUACAAAGGCUGGUUUUCAGAAAUUCACAAUGGAAAAGGCUUUUACGACCAUUUUUAAUAAAUCUGCGCAUCAAACACAACACCGUUUUCUCCUGACACAUGAACAGACAAAUGCAUAUCUUCUAUCGGACACAAAGCAAGAUACAAGCAAACGAGUAUGAGUUAAUACGCUCACAAAGACCCACAUACACAAGCACCCUGUAAAUACAAGCACAUAUGGACACAAACUCUCAUACACACACAUGUAUACACUUUAUACUCUGCCAACACGCACACAAGCAGAAAUUCAGAAUCUUCGAACACACAGAUACACGAAUCCCAAUAAUGCAACAACCAAAUAAAAUGCCUGUCGCACAAUUCAAACACAUCACCGUACUAAAGAAAGAGACUUUCAAUCUUGUCUUAAGAAUCAACAUAUCCAGGCGUAACAAUUGAUCUUGCUUCACACUGCACGAAGAAUAAUAUUAUGAGGAAACUAUAAGUUUUAAUAUAAAAGUUUAUAACCAGCUUUUAUUGAAUAAUACCCUGUUCUGCAAAUCUAAACGGUGCUUUGUUUUGCUUAAUUCAUUUUUAGAUGCGCGCGCGCGUAUCUGUGUAUGUUUAUGUACGUAUGAAUGCAUGUGUAUAUAUAUAUAUAUAUAUAGAGAGAGAGAGAGAGAGAGAGAAUGGCUCAGUGAUUAGGGCAGCGGACUCGCGGUCAUAGGAUCGCGGUUUCGAUUCCCAGACCGGGCGUUGUGAGUGUUUAUUGAGCGUAAACAUCUAAAGCUCCACGAGCCUCCGGCAGGGGUGGUGGUGGUGAACCCUACUGUGUUCUUUCGCCACACUCUUUCUUCCUGUUUCUGUUAUACCUGUAUUUCAAAGGGCCAGCCUUGUUACGCUGUAUCUCGCCCGAGAACUACGUUAAGGGUACACGUGUCUGUGGAGUGCUCAGCCACUUGCACGUUAAUUUCACGAGCAAGCUGUUCCGUUGUUCGGAUCAACUGGGACCCUCCUUGUCGUAACCGACGGAGUGCCACGAUAUAUAUAUUUAUAUAUAUAUAUAUAUAUAUAUAUAUAUAUAUAUAUAUAUAUAUGUAAAUGUAUAUAUACAUUUAUAUUUACAUUUAUAUUUACAUAUAUAUUUAUGCGUGUGUGCGUAUGUAUACUUAUAUAUGUGUAGGGAAGGUAUUGAUAUAAAUAUAUGUAUACACUUGUAUAACAAAUAUGUAUGUACGUAUGUAUAUAUGUACAUAGACACACACACGCGCAAACAAACACAUUCAAACACACACACUCACACACACACACACAAACUCUUGCACACUAACGCAAUAGCAUACACUCUGACAUUGCGAUGUUUCCCAGGAUGCCUUCUGCAAGAAAGCUAUAUAGUCGGGUGCAAUCUAACACACUUAAUACAGCAAACCCAAAAGAAAAAUUUAGAGCAACAAUAAAGAGCGAAGUCCUUUAUAUUAAUGAUAAUUUAUUCAAACAAUCAACUAAGACAAAUCCAAAAUUAAAAUUUCAUAACAGCUAAAAGGAAUUUUGUUGUGGAAAGUAAGUUUGAUCUUUUGUAAGUACACGGAUAACAGAAGACGUAUUUCUCAGUGAAACAAAGUCGGCAACGUGGUUACCGGGUCACAGAAGGAGACGCAUAACAGUUUUUGUGAUUUAUUCAUUAAUUAAACAUAAAUUAAUUGACCUUGGAAAAUUUACGUAGAGUACUUUGUUGAAAACAAAAAUUAUCGUUUAAUGCUUAUGAAUGUUUUUGUUUUUGAGACGAACAUAAUUCAAAUUAGGGUUUAAAUCAAUUAAUCAUUUUGCGUUAACUGUCUUAAGUAUGUUAACCCGCAAUUAAGCAAACACACACACACACACACACACACACACACACACACACGUACGCGCACGCACACACACAUAUACACACACAUACGCUUAUGCAUACAAAAAUACGUGUACAUGGGAGUAUGCAAAAAAUUCGUUUCAUUGUGCGUAGUUUAUACUCAUAUACAGACACAUACAUACACAUAUACAUACACAUGCAACUUAUAAAAACAAGCACACACACACACACACAUGCAUAUUUAUAUUUCUGUGAAUAUGAAAAUGAUUAUUUUCUACGAGUUAGUACAAAGUACUUUAUUAAAAGUUUGUGGUUCUUUCUGUUGUAAAGAAUAAACACAUCCUAAUAUAUGCAUAAACACUUGCAUAUAUGCAUGCAUACAUAUGCGUAUAUAUAUAUAUAUAUAUAUAUAUAUAUAUAUAUAUAUAUACAUAUACAUAUAUAUAUAUAUGUGAGUGUGUGCGUGUGUGUAUACGUGUGUGUGUGCGUAAGGGAUAAUAUUAUUCAAGUUUUUGUUUUAAUACAUGCACACACACACACACGCGCGUAUAUAAUAUAUAUAUGUAUAUGUAUAUAUAUAUAUAUAUAUAUAUAUAUAUAUAUAUAUGUCAUAGCACUUAUGUACAAACAGAUAGAUAGAUAGAUAGAUAGAUAGAUAGAUAGAUAGAUAGAUAGAUAGAUAGAUAGAUAGAUAGAGUGAUUGAGUGAGAGAGAGAGAAAGAAAGAAAGACAGAGAUGCAUGUAUGUAUGUAUGUAUGUACGUAUGUAUAUAUGUAUGUAAGUAUGUAUAUGUGUAUGUAUGUAUGUAUGCAUAUAAAAGUCGAGACAAGAUUAUGGUUAUAAAUGAAGAGUACAAGGCGUUUGUUUAUUUUAUAUUGUUAUUUCCCUUAAUUUAUUUUUGGUAUUUUUUUUUCAUUUGUAUUGCUUUUUAUUUCCGUGUUGUUCCGUGUCAAUGGAGCGGUAAAGUUAUCGUAAGAGUAUAAAACAAAGAGAAGCUAAAGAUGAUAUAGCAGUGCUCUGGACUCUACCAACCUGAAGAUGUGCAGGUACACAGCUAUUCAUGGAGAUACAAUAAUGAGUAUAUAUGUGACAUUCAGCAAUUAUCAGUUGGUUGUAAUGUGCCGAAACUGUUGUAGUGAUUUAGAUUAAAGCUUGUUCAUGCCAUCUUCUUUUGUAUGUAUGUAUGUAUGUAUUUAUGUAUGUAUGUAUGUAUGUAUGUAUGUAUGUAUGUAUGUAUGUAUGUAUGUAUGUAUGUAUGUAUACACAUACACACAGACACACUCUUAAGGUAGAGUCAAAUAAUAAUAUUUAUUCGAAGCUAACUCAAUGUGAAUUCCUGGUUUUCGAGAACCGGAAACGAAGAUUCCUGAGCUGCAAUUUACGCCGAAUCAUCCGCAAAUGUAUAAAGUAAUGUAUAUUGUAUGCAAAUGUAUAUGUGUAUGCAUCUAUGAAUGAGUGAAUAUGUGAAUGUAUGUAUGAUGAAUACAUGUAUGUAUUUAUGCAAUUAUCUAUGUAUAUACAUGCAUGAACGAAUGUAUGAAUGCAUGUAUAUAUAUAUA
rnacentral:lncRNA from 1 species